AGAUUGAACGCUGGCGGCAUGCUUUACACAUGCAAGUCGAACGGUAACAGGCCGCAAGGUGCUGACGAGUGGCGAACGGGUGAGUAAUGCAUCGGAACGUGCCCAGUCGUGGGGGAUAACGCAGCGAAAGCUGUGCUAAUACCGCAUACGAUCUAUGGAUGAAAGCGGGGGACCGAAAGGCCUCGCGCGAUUGGAGCGGCCGAUGUCAGAUUAGCUAGUUGGUGGGUAAAGGCCCACCAAGGCGACGAUCUGUAGC
rnacentral:rRNA from 1 species